CACUCCUACGGGAGGCAGCAGUGAGGAAUAUUGGACAAUGGGUGGAAGCCUGAUCCAGCCAUCCCGCGUGCAGGAAGACGGCCCUAUGGGUUGUAAACUGCUUUUAUCUGGGGAUAAACCUACUUACGUGUAAGUAGCUGAAGGUACCAGAAGAAUAAGCACCGGCUAACUCCGUGCCAGCAGCCGCGGUAAUACGGAGGGUGCAAGCGUUAUCCGGAUUUAUUGGGUUUAAAGGGUCCGUAGGCGGACUGAUAAGUCAGUGGUGAAAUCCGACAGCUUAACUGUCGAACUGCCAUUGAUACUGUUAGUCUUGAGUAAGGUUGAAGUGGCUGGAAUAAGUAGUGUAGCGGUGAAAUGCAUAGAUAUUACUUAGAACACCAAUUGCGAAGGCAGGUCACUAAGUCUUAACUGACGCUGAUGGACGAAAGCGUGGGGAGCGAACAGGAUUAGAAACCCGAGUAGUCCCAU
rnacentral:rRNA from 1 species